rnacentral:rRNA from 1 species
AUUGAACGCUGGCGGCAUGCUUUACACAUGCAAGUCGAACGGCAGCGCGGGCUUCGGCCUGGCGGCGAGUGGCGAACGGGUGAGUAAUACAUCGGAACGUGCCCAGUAGUGGGGGAUAGCUCGGCGAAAGCCGGAUUAAUACCGCAUACGACCUGAGGGUGAAAGCGGGGGAUCUUCGGACCUCGCGCUAUUGGAGCGGCCGAUGGCAGAUUAGCUAGUUGGUGGGGUAAAGGCCUACCAAGGCGACGAUCUGUAGCUGGUCUGAGAGGACGACCAGCCACACUGGGACUGAGACACGGCCCAGACUCCUACGGGAGGCAGCAGUGGGGAAUUUUGGACAAUGGGCGAAAGCCUGAUCCAGCAAUGCCGCGUGUGUGAUGAAGGCCUUCGGGUUGUAAAGCACUUUUGGCGGGAACGAAAAGGACUGUGCCAAUACCACGGUUCGAUGACAGUACCCGCAGAAUAAGCACCGGCUAACUACGUG